rnacentral:rRNA from 1 species
UACGUAGGGGGCAAGCGUUGUCCGGAAUCAUUGGGCGUAAAGAGCGUGUAGGCGGCCCGGUAAGUCCGCUGUGAAAGUCCAGGGCUCAACCCUGGGAUGCCGGUGGAUACUGUCGGGCUCGAGUCCGGAAGAGGCGAGUGGAAUUCCUGGUGUAGCGGCGAAAUGCGCAGAUAUCAGGAGGAACACCAAUGGCGAAGGCAGCUCGCUGGGACGUGACUGACGCUGAGACGCGAAAGCGUGGGGAGCAAACAGG